GAGGGUAUAGCUCAAGUGGUAGAGCUCAUGCUUAGUAUACGCAAGGUCCUGGGUUCAACCCCUAAUACCUUCU
rfam:Camelus ferus unplaced genomic scaffold scaffold463, whole genome shotgun sequence.